GCCCUGGGAGGGAAUUAGAGGUUAUACAAUUCAUCUCCCUGUUAGUUUGGGUAUACUUUGAAAUACUUAAGCAUUUUCAUGUGGUAUACAUAUUCAUACAUAACUGAAUAUAUGCAGGGAGGGCAGCCCAUUUGCAUCUGGGAGUCCCUUCAGAAUCCACAGUCCAGAGGUAGUGACAAAGCAUCUCAUUUUUAAAAUUUUUAUAUAUAUUUUAUAUAUAUAUAAUUAUAUAUAUAUAUAUUUUUUUUUGCCAACAUAUAGUAUAGCACCCAGUGCUCAUCCCAUCAAGUGCCCGUCACCCAGUCAUCCCAUUGUCAAAGCAUCUCAAAUGUGGUUAUCAAGAUUACACCAGAGGGCUGAUUAAUUAGGGAUUUUUGAAAGAAGUUUUCACUGGGGAAGUUCAAGGUCUGUGGCUGGGCAGUACCAUCACCAUUGCCUCUGCCUCAGUGGGGAGGAGGAAGCUGAGAUUGUCAAGGGAUGGAUCAGGACACGGCUGCUCCUUCGUAAUGGUGUCAUGUCUGCCUCACCCUUUCACACGAGCUGUGUGUCCGAGUGUCUGAGGACCACGUGGGACUCUUCCAGGCUUACAGACUGUUUUGUGCAGACAUGUCAGUGAGUGUUGGUGUCUGGCUGCCAGAAUUUCUUCAAAGACCUGCUUUCCUUGGAACACCCUGCCCAAUGGUGAGACUGGAGAGAGAGGUGUCCAUAGCCCCUCGUAUUCAGAAAAAGAAGCAAACGUGCUGAACAGCCACAUUGGCUGGGUCCAAUCACUGUACACCCUCACUUUGCAGACGAUGAAGCCGGGGCCCAGAGCCAAGAGUGGAGCAGCAGCAGGAGCCCAGCACUCCGGCUCCUGGACCCGGGCUUAUGGUACAGGUCAGAGCUUCCCACACUACCUGGGAUGAAGGACUCUCCAUCCAACCUGUCAUGGACCCUCCAACCUGUCAUGGACCGAAGCUUUGGAGCCUUCAUCCCCACACUCAUUCAGCAGGUGUUGACUGAGCCACAGAGUACAGGCAGCCCGCCAGGUGCUGAGGAAGGACUGCUGAGCGGGAGAGGGGGUCAGACCAGAGAAGUAGAUGAAUACUAAGUGCAAAGUGACAUUUCUCUUGGCUGCUGCUGAACCGUUCCCCGGCCUCAAGGGGCAGGAUGAGCUGGAUUCUCUUUUCUGGGCAACGUGGAAGACCAAAGGAGCUGUUUCUCCCACUGCUUGGUGGAGGCAAGUGGGUUUUCAACAAUAAAUCAUAAACCACAAUAUCAGAGGUGUCAAGGACAGAGGCUUGCCUCUUUAUUUUAUAAAUGAGGAACCCACCAUCCAGAGAGGUUAGUUCAUUUGCUGAAUAUCACAGAACCUGAAAAUGCCAAAAUACAAGACCUUGACCUAUGUCUUCUGCCUUCUGUCAUCACAGACAGCUUAUUUUUCCCUGGACUGCCACAGCAUGGAACUCUGAGAAGGUAAAGGAAACAAGUCGCAGGAACUCUUAAGUGACUGUAACAUUAACGCCGAUGUAUCACUUAAAAAUGGUAAUAAUGACCAACAUUAUUGGGAGCCCUUUAAGAGCUGUCAAAUUAACUCAGUUCAGGUAAUCUUCAUAAGAAAACCUUCGCACUUCACUUGUUCUUAUGGUUCAACUUGAUUUCCCUUGUCUAAUUGCACUGGCCUGUAUCUCUAGUACAGUGUCAAAGAGUAGUGGAGAUUAGUGAACAUCCUUGCUUUGUUCCUGAUCUUAAAGGUAAUGCCUCCAAUGCUUUCCUAUUAAAUAUUAGCUUUAGGAUGAUUCCAUCAUGUUAAGAAAAUACCACAAGUUCUCUAAGUUCUUGAGUGUUUUUUCUUCUUUUUCUUCUUCUGUGAAGAGGUAUUGAAUUAUCCUCAGCAUUUAUGGAGAUAAUCAUGAUUUUUUUGGCCAUAGGUUUAUUAAUGUGGACUGUGGUUUUAAUGGAUUUGUAAAAGUGACCCAACACUGCAUUCUUGAACAAAUACCACUUAUUCUUGAUAUAUUAUUUUCUUAAUGUGAUGUUAGACUCAUUGUUGCUAACAUUUAGAAAUUUUACAGGGAUACUUAUGAAUGAUACUGGUCUAUAUAUUUAUCUGUAUUGCUUCUUGUUUAGCUAUCAGUGUUAUAUUUGUGUCAUAGAACAAGAAGCUUUCCUUCCUUUUCAAUGCUGUGGAAUAUUUUAAGAGCAUUGAAUUAUCUGAUCUUUGAAGGUGUGGUAGAUUUUGUUGUGGAAAGUCUGGUGCUUCUGUUUCCUUAAUAAAUUUCUCCAUUUCUUAAAUGGAAUUGGUCCAUUUCAAUUUUCUAACUCUAAUGGUGGUCAAUUUGGGUAAUUUUAAUUUUCCUUGGAAAUCAUCCAUUUGACAUGUUUUUCCAGAUUUAUUUGCAAAGAAGUCUUGUGAAGUUGUCUCUUACAAUUGUAAACUUUCCUUCUGCUGCAAUAGUUAUUUCCCUCUUGACAUCUUUUAUUUUGUGGUGUUUGUGUUCUCUCCUAUUUAUCUUGAUCAAGUUAGCUAAUGAUUUGUUAAGUUUGUUAACUUUUUUAAAAAACAGAAUUUUGCUUGUUAGUUACGUCUAUUUCUCUAUUCUCUCAUUUAUUUCUGCUUUUAUCAUUAUUUUUUAUGCUUUCUUUUGGCUUACUUUGUUCUUUUUAAAGUGCUUUGAGCUGGAAAUUGAAUUCAUUUUAUUAUUUUUAUUGAUAAAUGUAUUUAGUACAAUGAUUUUUCUUUUAAAGAUUUUUAUUGAUUUAUUUGGGAGAGAGAGAGAGCACAAGCAAGGGGAGAGACAGAGGGAGAGGGAGAAGCAGACUCCCCACUGAGUGGGGAUCCUGAUGCGGGGCUCCAUCUCAGGAUCCUCAGACCAUGACUGGAGCUGAAGGCAGAUGCCCACCAACUGAGCCACCCAGGCACCCCUGAUUUUUCUUAUUUACUACUUUACUUGCAUUCUAUAGAGUGUGAUAUAUUUUUAUUGUGAUUAGAGACCUCUCUUAAGGGAAAAGAAUACAAAAUUAAGAAUAUGAAACUAGGUACAAGGCCUUGAAAGGGGUACAUGUAAGUGAGGGGCCAUCACACUUGAAUUUUACUACCGUCACAGUAAAUCCACCUGAUUAAAAAUAAGGCUUGAGGGACACCAGAGUGGCUCAGUGGGUGGGCAUCUUAUCAACAUCUGCCUUCAGCUCAGCGGUCAUGAUCCCAGGGUUCUGGGAUCAAGUCUCACAUUGGGCUCCCUGCUCCAUGGGGUUUGCUUCUCCCUCUCCCUCUAUUCUCUCUCUCACAAAUAAGUAAAUGAAAUCUUAUUUAUUUUUAUUUAUUUUUUUAAAUUUUUAUUUAUUUAUGAUAGUCACACAGAGAGAGAGAGGCAGAGACACAGGCAGAGGGAGAAGCAGGCUCCAUGCACCGGGAGCCCGACGUGGGAUUCGAUCCGGGGUCUCCAGGAUCGCGCCCUGGGCCAAAGGCAGGCGCCAAACCGCUGCGCCACCCAGGGAUCCCGAAAUCUUAUUUUUUUAAAAGAUUCUCUCUCUUCCUCUGCCCCUCCCCCACCUCCCUCUCUAAAAAAAUAAGUAAAUAAUAAAAAAAUAAAAAUAAGGCUUGAGAUUCAUGAAUGAUUUUUGUAGUUGGAAUUUUGAGAUGAGUUAGUAGUCAGGGAAGACUUGCCACGUGAGUAGCAAGAAAAAAGAAUGGCAAAGAGAAUGAGCUGUAGAGGUAUGCAGAGGUUGUGCUGAGCAGCGGGCGGAAUUAAUCUCUGUAAUCUUUACCACAUGCCUGAUUGCUUUACUGUUACCAUUUUAUAAGUGAUUAAAAGGAGUUUCUGAAAUGUUAAAAUACUUGCUUCGGAUCACACAGUCGGUGAGAUUAAAUCUCGCCGAGUCCAGCCCAGAAGCCUAUAUCUCACUACACACACCAACCACAUUGUUGGUGCCCAGAAGGGACUGGCCAUGUGCUCUUCCCACCUGCUCCAACAGCAGCCAGUUUAGGAACUGGUCUCACAGCCACCAGUGAUGCAGCAUUACCUAUGGCAUGGGACUGAGCAAAGCACACUGACGGACUGUAUCAGUCAUCUCUUGCUGUGGAACAAAUGACCCUCAAACAGUACAUAGUAGGGCAGCCCCAGUGGCGCAGCAGUUUAGCGCCACCUGCAGCCCAGGGCGUGAUUCUGGAGACCCAGGAUCGAGUCCUGCAUCGGGCUCCCUGCAUGGGGCCUGCUUCUCCCUCUGCCUGUGUCUCUGCCUGCCUCUCUCUCUCUCUGAAUGAAUAAAUAAAUAAAUCUUUAAAAACAAAA